rnacentral:rRNA from 1 species
AUGUCCAAGAUCCUUUCCCAUGAUAUAGGCAAAGACUACAUAUCUAUUGCUAGAUUUUGGCCAGCUCAUAAACAUAAAAUGGUCUUGAACUCGGUUUGUGCCUGUGUUAUAUGGUGCAUCUGGAAGUUCAGAAAUUCCAUGAUCUUUAAUAAUGUGAUGUGGACUGAUCUUAAAUAG